rnacentral:lncRNA from 1 species
CACUGAUCAGACUCUUUUCUUUCCCUGUCAGGAUGUUGCAAAGAUCUUCAAGCUACACAUAUAAAUCUGCCAGGCAUGUCCAACGCACUUUUCCAGCAUUCCUAGGGAUAGGACACUGAUUGGUUAGAUCAAUGGGUGGGUGUGGAAAGCACAAGAAAGAAGAAUCAGGUAAACAUGAAAAAGAAUCAUAUUCAUCUGCUGUUUUCAGUCUUCGGAGUGAGGCAUGUCCCUUUAAAUUUGAAAUUCAUUUUCAAUUUACUUUGAAUGCCCAAUUGUUUUCACGUUAGUAAAUAACCGUUUAUGUUAAAUAGCAUUUUCUGAGUGCUUUUAAUAGUGGUUAUUACACAAAAUAUAAUAUUUGGAUCAAAUAUGUCUCUAUAAAGUGUCACCCCUUUUUGCAUGACAAAUGUCCUUCAAUAGUGUAUAAUUCAAGGUCUUAAUUUUGUGAGCAGGGCAGUGGUGAGCCAAAUGCUCUUAUCUGAAUAAACAAGUUCCUUAUACUUUGAUGUGAGCAGUUUUUUCCUUAUUUGUGGGAGGAUUUGAACUUAGGAUAUGCGCGAUUAUUUCAACACAGGGCAGGAUUUUCUGAGAAGACUAGGACACCAUGUGACUACGUAACUAUGAUACAAUAGAAGGAAAACUGCCCUGUGAAUCACGGACAGAUGUGAGGAAGCUGCUAAACAGCUGGAAGCCACCAUGUUUAAUCCCAAGAGCUGUCGCACGUCUGUGAACAUCUGUCCUUAAAUCUAUUGGUGAUUAUUAAAGAAUCCUUAUGUGCUCUUGACCAUGCCUCUCUGCUUCCUGUUUCUGGUGUUG